AGCAUAGUUACUCUGUGAUGAAGAAAAACUCAGAAAACUAUCCAGAUGUGGGAAUUUCUCAGAUAUUCCUUGCACUUGAACUUAAGGAUGAAUGAAGGUAUAUACAAGUCUGUACUUCUCCUACAUAAAUGCCUUGCAUGGCGGGAACUAAAUCAACUACACAGACCCAUACAUCCAGAGAGCAGAGGUGAGCUGGAUACAAGUGGCUUAGAGAUGUGGUGGAAGGAGGCCAGAGCUCCAAGGGAAGGGCAGCAAGGAGACAACAGCAUGGGUUGCAGCUCAGACAACAGGUAAAUAAAACCAAGCAAAGCUGCUGGUCACAGAUUUGACCAGGGUGGCAAGAAAUGACAACCUACCAUGAGAUUCAACAGUGGCACGGAAGGAUGAUGAGAAGCAAACAGAUUAGGAGAAGCUGCCACCACCGUACAUAGAGGCACAGAUGACCAAGCAGAACAGCACCAGUCCCUGCAAGGUGUGCUCAGAUACAGCUCGGCACAGCCAUCUGGCCAGGAGGGAAUGAUAAUGCACAUGGUGUGCAUUGCAGCCGGGAAGUUGAGAACCACUGUGGGCACCUCAGGACUGAGUCUGGUUACCCUGCUGAUCCAAGAAAUGAAGCCAUCUAAAAUUUUGCCUGCUUUCACAAUUUUCUGUGUGUGUGUGUGUGUGUGUGUAUUAAACAAAGUGAACUAAGAAGCC
rnacentral:antisense_RNA from 1 species